UUUAAGUGAAGAGUUUGAUCCUGGCUCAGAGUGAACGCUGGCGGCAGGCCUAACACAUGCAAGUCGAACGGCAGCGGGUAGGAAGCUUGCUUCCUAUGCCGGCGAGUGGCGGACGGGUGAGGAACACAUCGGAAUCUACUCCGUCGUGGGGGAUAACGUAGGGAAACUUACGCUAAUACCGCAUACGACCUAAGGGUGAAAGUGGGGGACCGCAAGGCCUCACGCGAUGGAAUGAGCCGAUGUCCGAUUAGCUAGUUGGCGGGGUAAAGGCCCACCAAGGCGACGAUCGGUAGCUGGUCUGAGAGGAUGAUCAGCCACACUGGGACUGAGACACGGCCCAGACUCCUACGGGAGGCAGCAGUGGGG
rnacentral:rRNA from 1 species